AUUGAAACACCGAUACCCGUACGAUCACCAAAGUUAAGCAAUGUUCAGCCUGGAUAGUACCUGGAUGGAUGACCGCUUGUGAAUCCCAGGUGCGGUAAG